UAUGUAUUCAGCCGUAGAGUUUGCAGAAC
rnacentral:piRNA from 1 species